rnacentral:tRNA from 1 species
GGUAAGGUGACUGAGUUUUAGGUACUAGAUUGUAAAUCUAUGAACGGAUAAUUUCCUCUUAUCA